CUACGGGUGGCUGCAGUGAGGAAUAUUGCACAAUGGGGGGAACCCUGAUGCAGCAACGCCGCGUGGAGGAUGACGCAUUUCGGUGUGUAAACUCCUUUUAUAUGUCAAGAAAAUGACGGUAGUAUAUGAAUAAGCACCGGCUAACUCCGUGCCAGCAGCCGCGGUAGUACGGAGGGUGCAAGCGUUACUCGGAAUCACUGGGCGUAAAGGACGCGUAGGCGGGUUGGAAAGUCAGGUGUGAAAUCCUACAGCUUAACUGUAGAACUGCACUUGAAACUUCUAAUCUAGAGUAUGGGAGGGUGAGAUGGAAUUAGUGGUGUAGGGGUAAAAUCCGUAGAUAUCACUAGGAAUACCUAAAGCGAAGGCGAUCUCCUGGAACAUUACUGACGCUAAGGCGUGAAAGCGUGGGGAGCAAACAGGAUUAGAUACCCUCGUAGUC
rnacentral:rRNA from 1 species